rnacentral:rRNA from 1 species
AAGGAUCAUUACCGAGUGAGGGCCCUCUGGGUCCAACCUCCCACCCGUGUCUAUCGUACCUUGUUGCUUCGGCGGGCCCGCCGUUUCGACGGCCGCCGGGGAGGCCUUGCGCCCCCGGGCCCGCGCCCGCCGAAGACCCCAACAUGAACGCUGUUCUGAAAGUAUGCAGUCUGAGUUGAUUAUCGUAAUCAGUUAAAACUUUCAACAACGGAUCUCUUGGUUCCGGCAUCGAUGAAGAACGCAGCGAAAUGCGAUAAGUAAUGUGAAUUGCAGAAUUCAGUGAAUCAUCGAGUCUUUGAACGCACAUUGCGCCCCCUGGUAUUCCGGGGGGCAUGCCUGUCCGAGCGUCAUUGCUGCCCUCAAGCACGGCUUGUGUGUUGGGCCCCCGUCCCCCUCUCCCGGGGGACGGGCCCGAAAGGCAGCGGCGGCACCGCGUCCGGUCCUCGAGCGUAUGGGGCUUUGUCACCUGCUCUGUAGGCCCGGCCGGCGCCAGCCGACACCCAACUUUAUUUUUCUAAGGUUGACCUCGGAUCAGGUAGGGAUACCCGCUGAACUUAAGCAUAU